GCAAACUUGGUCAUUUAGAGGAAGUAAAAGUCGUAACAAGGUCUCCGUUGGUGAACCAGCGGAGGGAUCAUUACAGUGACUUUACCGUCAAACCACCGCGAACGCUACCGUGACGUUGCCUCGGCGGGCGCCGCGGCGCCUGGCUCUAGCGGCCAGGCCCGCAGCGUCGAGCCCGCCGGCGGCCUUAUACUAUACCUCUGAAUUUUUCUCUGAGUCUCUAUAAAAUGAGUCAAAACUUUCAACAACGGAUCUCUUGGUUCUGGCAUCGAUGAAGAACGCAGC
rnacentral:misc_RNA from 1 species